GAUGAACGCUGGCGGCGUGCCUAAUACAUGCAAGUCGAGCGAACAGACGAGGAGCUUGCUCCUCUGAUGUUAGCGGCGGACGGGUGAGUAACACGUGGAUAACCUACCUAUAAGACUGGGAUAACUUCGGGAAACCGGAGCUAAUACCGGAUAACAUGUUGAACCGCAUGGUUCAACAGUGAAAGACGGUCUUGCUGUCACUUAUAGAUGGAUCCGCGCCGCAUUAGCUAGUAGGUAAGGUAACGGCUUACCAAGGCAACGAUGCGUAGCCGACCUGAGAGGGUGAUCGGCCACACUGGAACUGAGACACGGUCCAGACUCCUACGGGAGGCAGCAGUAGGGAAUCUUCCGCAAUGGGCGAAAGCCUGACGGAGCAACGCCGCGUGAGUGAAGAAGGUCUUCGGAUCGUAAAACUCUGUUAUUAGGGAAGAACAAAUGUGUAAGUAACUAUGCACGUCUUGACGGUACCUAAUCAGAAAGCCACGGCUAACUACGUG
rnacentral:rRNA from 1 species